UACGUAGGGUGCAAGCGUUGAUCGGAAUUACUGGGCGUAAAGCGUGCGCAGGCGGUAAUGUAAGACAGAGGUGAAAUCCCCGGGCUCGACCUGGGAACUGCCUUUGUGACUGCAUUGCUAGAGUACGGUAGAGGGGGGUGGAAUUCCGCGUGUAGCAGUGAAAUGCGUAGAUAUGCGGAGGAACACCGAUGGCGAAGGCAGCCCCCUGGACCUGUACUGACGCUCAUGCACGAAAGCAUGGGGAGCAAACAGG
rnacentral:rRNA from 1 species